AUUAAAUAUGUAAAUACUCCGUAGAAAGUAGGUGCGAAAGCGUAACGGAUAACCAACCUACCGAGGAUUCCAAUAUAUAUGAAAAUAUAUGGUCUCUUCGUACGGCUACGGAGGGACCUUUAGUUUUAUUAU
rfam:Clostridium roseum strain DSM 7320 CROST_contig000103, whole genome shotgun sequence.